GGGAUUAAAGGUGUGGGCCACCAACGCUCGGCGAGAUUCAAAAUUCUUAUGGUACAGGUCUGAAACUUUUGCACAGGGCAGGGUCAUCUAAAGAGACCAUGGGAUAUUUGGGGCUAUCAUGAUGUCAAAGAGAAAGAAGGAAGAAAUAAAGGGAGAGAAGAAAGGAAGGAAAGAAGGAAGGAAGGAAGGAAGGGACAGGGAAGAGAGGGAGGAGGGAGGGAGAUAAAGAAAGAAGGAAGGAGGGAGGAAGGAGUGAGGGAGGGAAGGAAGGUAGGACCAAAAGGAGGAAAGAAGGAAGAAAUAAAUCUCUUUUACCUUGCAGGAUUAGGUCCUUCUGCCUUACGAUGACUUCCACAACCACCAACAAGAAUUCUACAAAGAAAUGGAAAAUAAAGUCUUUGUGUGGUAUCACACCUAUAGCCGAGUACUUGGCAAUGCCUAGGCAGGAGAGUUGGUGCAAGUUUGAGGCCAGCCUGUCUCAAAACCACAACAACAGCAGCAAAGUAGGAAAUAAGUCCACAAGGCCCAAGCAUUUUUUAACAAAAUCUUGAAGAAGAUUAUCUUAUUUUAUGUGUAUGGAUGUUAGCCUGCAUGUACAGAUAUGCACCUCAUGCAUGCCUGAUACUACAGAGGUCGGAAGAAGAGCUCAGCACCCCUGGAACUGCUGUUACAGAUGCUUGAGAGCCACCAUGUAGAUGCGGUGUUCACACGUAGACUUCCUUCACUGAGUUUUCCCACCUGGAGAGGUAUGCUUGGCCUGGACACAGCAGUCCCACAAGUCUACAAGAAGAGCUACCUCAGGCUGCUGUACAUGUUUAUAGGGCAGAGGAAGAGGGGAAAGACUGGAAAUGCGUCAAUUAGGGAGGAGCAAGAACUUCCUGAGUGGAGAAAAUGGCCAGUUCCACACAAGCUGAGCUCAUGGGAUCACCGGAAGCCACAGUUCUGUUGAGCUAACUCAGACUUGCUCAUCCAGUCAUUUGAUGCAAAGACAACGCCUAGUACACCAGGCAAAACUGAAACCUGCAGGCUGUUCGGAGAGUUUUCAUUUCCCGGACUCCAACCGCUGGUCUCACAGCUGCCCAAGCAACCACUUCCUGAAAUGCAAACACACACGGGUGCGCUCGCGCACGCGCGCACGCACACUACCUCAUACCAUACAUCCUGAUGACUGAGUGAGUACUCGGGAAAUCUCCAAACCUUCAGUUCGUCACCAGGGACCGGCUCUGACCGUGGAGAGACUAGCUCUGGAAACUUCUAGUCUCUCUACGGAGGUCCCUUUCUGCUUUUCUUCCAGCGACGUGAUUCUGAGUGGCUUUCCUGAGCCCGCUCUCCCAGUCCUUAGGAAGAAUCUGCGGAGUCGCUGACGGGAAGCAGGUGUCUGGCGCCAUCGGAGGGCAGGCCCGCGUGGGAGCCGCUCGUCCCGCAGCGCAUCCCAGGUGACUCCGGCCCGACCCGUCUUUCCUGGACCGAGGCGUUUAGAAGUACCUUAGAAACCGCACCACCCGUCAGCUGGCUUCAAAACAAAGAGUCCUUUCAGCCGCUUCAGAUGCUGGCUCG